GCGUUCAUAGUUUAGGGGUAGAAUACGAGCUUCCCAUGUUACCAAGCAAGCUUAUGCUCGUGGUCCGAGUUCGAGUCUCGGUGGACGCA